rnacentral:rRNA from 2 species
AGCCUUUCGGCUUUAACCCGGAGAAAGUGCAUCGGGAAACCCGAGAGACCUGAAGUGCCAAAAGAGGCACAGUGGAAUCUCCCAUGUGUAGCCGGUGAAAAUGCCGUAGAUAUAUGGAAGAAACACCAGUGGCGAAGGGCGGCUGUCUGGUCUGUAACUGACGCUGAGGCUCGAAAAGCAUGGGUAGCGAACAGGAUUAGAUACCCUGGUAGUCCAUGCCGUAAACGAUGAGUGCUAAGUGUUGGAGGGUUUCCGCCCUUCAGUGCUGCAGCUAACGCAUUAAGCAUUCCGCCUGGGGAGUACGACCGCAAGGUUGAAACUCAAAGGAAUUGACGGGGGCCCGCACAAGCGGUGGAGCAUGUGGUUUAAUUCGAUGCUACGCGAAGAACCUUACCAGGUCUUGACAUCUUCUGCCAACCUAAGAGAUUAGGCGUUCCCUUCGGGGACAGAAUGACAGGUGGUGCAUGGUUGUCGUCAGCUCGUGUCGUGAGAUGUUGGGUUAAGUCCCGCAACGAGCGCAACCCUUAUUGUUAGUUGCCAGCAUUCAGUUGGGCACUCUAGCAAGACUGCCGGUGACAAACCGGAGGAAGGUGGGGAUGACGUCAAAUCAUCAUGCCCCUUAUGACCUGGGCUACACACGUGCUACAAUGGACGGUACAACGAGUCGCGAAACCGCGAGGUCAAGCUAAUCUUUUAAAGCCGUUCUCAGUUCGGAUUGUAGGCUGCAACUCGCCUACAUGAAGUGGGAAUCGCUAGUAAUCGUGGAUCAGCAUGCCACGGUGAAUACGUUCCCGGGCCUUGUACACACCGCCCGUCACACCAUGAGAGUUUGUACACACCCAAAGCCGGUGAGGUAACCUUGCGGAGACCAGCCGUCUAAGGUGUAAAAGAAAGAAGGGA